rnacentral:rRNA from 1 species
AUUUAACGCUGGCGGCAGGCCUAACACAUGCACGUCGAGCGGAGCGGCGGACGGGUGCGUAAUGCCUAGGCAUCUGCCUGGUAGUGGGGGAUAACGUCCGGCAACGGGCGCUAAUACCGCAUACUAUCAGAUGAGCCUAGGUCGGCUUUGCUAGUUGGUGGUGUACAGGCCUACAAAGGCGACGAUCCGUAACUGGUCUGAGAGGAUGAUCAGUCACAGUGGAACUGAGAAACGGUCCAGAAUCCUACGGGAGGAAGACGGGGGGAAUAGUGGACAAUGGGCGAAAUCCUGAGCCAGCCAUGCCGCGUGUGUGAAGAAGGUCUUCGGAUGGUAAAGCACUUUAAGUUGGGAGGCGUUACCAACAGAAUAAGCACCGGCUAACUUCGUGCCAGCAGCCGCGGUAAUAC